UGUUCUGUGGCUUAGUUGGUUAAAGCGCCGGACUAGCGAUACGGAGUCGUGGGUUCGAAUUCCCAACCAAAACAA
rfam:Aedes albopictus isolate Foshan contig25594, whole genome shotgun sequence.